GAAUGUUGAAAUAAGUACACAAUUGAUACUCUCAAUUAAAAGGAACUGAUACUCUUUAUCUAAAGAAAAGAAACCUUAGGUGCAGUGUCUAGGUUUAUCCUAGAUCUACAGAUAGAAAGUUAAUCCUAAUUUUUGUUAUAGCGACUAGAGCCAAAAGUUCCUACGUUCAAUCACCCAAAACAUUACACCUAAUUAGGAAAAAAUUGUAAAACACAGUUAGCUUAUCAGUAGCCAACUCUAAAUCACCAACAACCAAUAUCUAGUGGUUGUGUUCAUCAGUGGCCUCGUAUCACAUUGCCAGGCUAUUGCUGGAAUCUCAACAAUUAAAGCCAUAGGGAAUCAUGCCACUUGCCAUCCCUAGUUUACCUAGUAGAUACAUCACCAGAUUGCCAGCAGUACAAGUCACAACUACAUUAUUGCAUGGGAUCUACUGAGCUACAACCAUCACCUCAAGUCAAGCUUGUCGGCAAAACCUUGACAUUGGAUGCUGACCGAAAGCUAGCUUGUGAAACACAUUUGUGGGUUGACACAAGUAGAAUUUAUCUUAUCUUCAUUGUUUGGGUCCUUUUCCAAGGGUUAACUGUAUCGGUUCACUAGAUUUGUUAGGCACUUGUUUAGUGGUUCAACUAGUCGUCAAAAUGUUUUUUGGUAUUUUUUAUUUUAACGAUUAUUCAAUCUGGUAAAGCUAUGUCGAAUGUUGAAAUAAGUACACAAUUGAUACUCUCAAUUAAAAGGAACUGAUACUCUUUAUCUAAAGAAAAGAAACCUUAGGUGCAGUGUCUAGGUUUAUCCUAGAUCUACAGAUAGAAAGUUAAUCCUAAUUUUUGUUAUAGCGACUAGAGCCAAAAGUUCCUACGUUCAAUCACCCAAAACAUUACACCUAAUUAGGAAAAAAUUGUAAAACACAGUUAGCUUAUCAGUAGCCAACUCUAAAUCACCAACAACCAAUAUCUAGUGGUUGUGUUCAUCAGUGGCCUCGUAUCACAUUGCCAGGCUAUUGCUGGAAUCUCAACAAUUAAAGCCAUAGGGAAUCAUGCCACUUGCCAUCCCUAGUUUACCUAGUAGAUACAUCACCAGAUUGCCAGCAGUACAAGUCACAACUACAUUAUUGCAUGGGAUCUACUGAGCUACAACCAUCACCUCAAGUCAAGCUUGUCGGCAAAACCUUGACAUUGGAUGCUGACCGAAAGCUAGCUUGUGAAACACAUUUGUGGGUUGACACAAGUAGAAUUUAUCUUAUCUUCAUUGUUUGGGUCCUUUUCCAAGGGUUAACUGUAUCGGUUCACUAGAUUUGUUAGGCACUUGUUUAGUGGUUCAACUAGUCGUCAAAAUGUUUUUUGGUAUUUUUUAUUUUAACGAUUAUUCAAUCUGGUAAAGCUAUGUCGAAUGUUGAAAUAAGUACACAAUUGAUACUCUCAAUUAAAAGGAACUGAUACUCUUUAUCUAAAGAAAAGAAAACUUAGGUGCAGUGUCUAGGUUUAUCCUAGAUCUACAGAUAGAAAGUUAAUCCUAAUUUUUGUUAUAGGGACUAGAGCCAAAAGUUCCUACGUUCAAUCACCCAAAACAUUACACCUAAUUAGGAAAAAAUUGUAAAACACAGUUAGCUUAUCAGUAGCCAACUCUAAAUCACCAACAACCAAUAUCUAGUGGUUGUGUUCAUCAGUGGCCUCGUAUCACAUUGCCAGGCUAUUGCUGGAAUCUCAACAAUUAAAGCCAUAGGGAAUCAUGCCAUUUGCCAUCCCUAGUUUAC
rnacentral:lncRNA from 1 species